rnacentral:ribozyme from 11 species
AAGUAUUGGAAUAAGUAGUCGCAGCGGUGUGCUUGAUACAGUAUUGAUGCCGUUUUUUUUUUUUUUUUUUUUUUGUUUUUUUUUUUUUUUUCUU